AAGGGGAAAAAAAAAAAAACAAAGUUAGACUACUAAUUUCUGGGGUGGUUAGCAUGAAUUCUUUAUGUUUUUUUUCCUAGUAUUUCUUCUUUUUGGGCUUUCUUUUUCUUCAUAUUU
rnacentral:ribozyme from 1 species